GAUAUUUGGCCAUGGCAUAAUGAGAAGAACGUUGAAUCCAGAAUUCUACUGCCAGGAUUCAGUUGGCUGAGCUGCCACCUAUCAACUUAGCACUCAAGCAAAGCACUUAUCUUCUGAGUUGUAAGCAGGAAUGGGCAAAUAGUUGAUGGGUGGAUCAAAACAAAAACACACCUUCGGCACAGGGCAGACACUCAGCAAAUUUAAGGGGGUUAAGCAGUUCGAACAUUGUCUGGCACCUUUUGCUGUGAAAAACAAUUGAGGGGCUGCCCCUGGGGUUAGGAAGGAAGAGGCAACUGCAGACAGUGAAGCAGUGAAGGUCAGUUGCCACCAGCAGGGUCCUUUCACCUGGAAUCAUGGUUAA
rnacentral:lncRNA from 1 species